rnacentral:lncRNA from 1 species
CCUUCCCUAACCCUUCUUUUUCAUCAACACACAAGAGCUAACCCUAAUCCGCCAAAAAACUACACCAGCAGCCACCCUCACACCCUUCAGCCGACGCCGCCACUUCUAAACCCAUUCCAGCCGCCACCGGUUCCUCAUCUCCCCAACACCCCCUGAAACCUAGAGCAGCUGACCAUUCCGUCAAACAAAAACAGCCGCCAGCCAUGAAAUGCCCCAUUUCUGGCCACUACUAGCCAGCGACUCACUUUCACCUUCUUAGCUUCACCCUCCACCAGAAACCCGCUGCCCUAGCCCCUUCGCCUCAAACCAGCUCACCAGAAAACGCCUUCCAUCAGCGACCAUCUGAUUCUUAACAUCACACCAAACGUCCACCAGCUCCACACGCAGCAGCCGGGCCUCAUCCACAGAAAACAGAUACACACAUAUAGAGCAGUAGGGGGAAUUGGCAAAAAAAGGAGGAGAGUAGUCCAUGAAACUCCAUUGAAAUCAUCUCUGAAAGCUCCAUGAAAGUUUACUAAAGAACAUCCAGAAAUACCACAACAGAUCCAACAUCAAUCAUCGAGCAAAGAGGUUCGAAUGGGUUGAGGUUCAUCGAGGUCGCCGGGGCGGUUCACUUUUCCAGUCACAGUGGUAAGCAAUAGGGUUCUCACGAAGUUUCUCUAUUAACAUUAGAAAUUUGCUUCCCGUAAGGUCCAAUUCCUUUCUCUUUUCUUAAAUACUUUAAUUUUAUUAUGUGAUUGUUUGUUGGUAAUUGAAGUUCGUAUAUGAUUCAUUAUUGGGAAUGUGAUAUUUAUCUUAACUAGUGUUUGGAAUCUAAUUUGCUUGUUGUGAUUGAUUUGGACUAUUUCAUGAAUCGGUCAAAGCAGGAAGUUGAAUUAAUCAGUCGACUUGAAUUUAAAAGGGCGCGGAAGUGAAAGUCGAAGGAGAACAAAAUUCUGUUUGGCGUGAAUCGCUUUAAUAUUUGUACGUAGUCAAUGUUAGCUCUUUCGUUGAACGUUAGAAAUAUGCCUAGUGAGAGGUUGUUUCCUUAGUUAAAUUUAUUCGGGAAAUGUCCGAAAGAAUUUGUACAUAUUUUAUUCCAGAGAAUAUCCCGUAGUAUAUAUAUUUGGAGGCCAUGACGAAGCUGUGGAGCAAUAUAGUCC